CAAAAUUGCACAAUAAGUCGAGCUUUAACAGAAUGUUUAUGUUGUUUUUCCAGAACCGCCAGAACAAGAAAAUGUCCUCGUAGUUCCUCACACGUGUUCUCAGAUGGUCAAUACUGGAACAGGUGAAUCCAAACAGUGACACCUGACAUGAGUUUCCUGCAGAUUUAACUGGUUGGAGCAUCUCAUAACCUGAUCUGACAUCGGUGAACUGCUUCUGGAGAGAUCUAAACUUCUGUUGAUGCCUUGGAUCGAAUUGGCUCUUCAAACUGACACUGCGGUAGACACAGAAGAAACAAAUUAACAUUCAAUCUGAACUAAUUAUUUUCCUGAUGAAAUAUCAGUAUUAAACUCUUCAGCUCUGUUCCAAAUCCUAGUUUUUGCUGUAUACUGUUUGA